rnacentral:rRNA from 1 species
GUCCUACGGGGGGCAGCAGUGGGGAAUAUUGCACAAUGGGCGCAAGCCUGAUGGAGCAACGCCGCGUGAGUGAAGAAGGGUUUCGGCUCGUAAAGCUCUGUUGGUAGUGAAGAAAGAUAGAGGUAGUAACUGGCCUUUAUUUGACGGUAAUUACUUAGAAAGUCACGGCUAACUACGUGCCAGCAGCCGCGGUAAUACGUAGGUGGCAAGCGUUGUCCGGAUUUAUUGGGCGUAAAGCGAGUGCAGGCGG